rnacentral:pre_miRNA from 1 species
AUGUAGGACAAUCUGUCUUUAAAUAGGAGUAAAUUACACUUUUUAAAAACAUCCUAGAUAGUUUUCCUUCUAAGUCGAGGGUCUUGU